CACGUAGGGCGCAAGCGUUGUCCGGAAUUAUUGGGCGUAAAGAGCUCGUAGGCGGUCUGUUACGUCUGCUGUGAAAACCCAGGGCUUAACCCUGGGCUUGCAGUGGAUACGGGCAGACUAGAGGCAGGUAGGGGAGAAUGGAAUUCCCGGUGUAGCGGUGAAAUGCGCAGAUAUCAGGAGGAACACCGAUGGCGAAGGCAGCUCGCUGGGACGGUACUGACGCUGAGGCGCGAAGCCAGGGGAGCGAACGAG
rnacentral:rRNA from 1 species